UACGUAGGUGACAAGCGUUGUCCGGAUUUACUGGGUGUAAAGGGCGCGUAGGCGGGAUAGCAAGUCAGUCGUGAAAUGCCAAGGCUUAACCUCGGAGCUGCGAUUGAAACUGUUAUUCUUGAGUAUCGGAGAGGAAAGCGGAAUUCCUAGUGUAGCGGUGAAAUGCGUAGAUAUUAGGAGGAACACCAGUGGCGAAGGCGGCUUUCUGGACGACAACUGACGCUGAGGCGCGAAAGUGUGGGGAGCAAACAGG
rnacentral:rRNA from 1 species